rnacentral:lncRNA from 1 species
GGGGUAACGGGGGAAACUGGGGAAGUGGGGAACCGAGGGGCAACCAGGGGAAGAUGGGGUGCUGGAGGAGAGCUUGUGGGAGCCAAGGAGCACCUUGGACAUCUGGAGUCUGGCAGGAGUGAUGACGGGUGGAGGGGCUAGCUCGAGGCAGGGCUGGUGGGGCCUGAGGCCAGUGAGGAGUGUGGAGUAGGCGCCCAGGCAUCGUGCAGACAGGGCGACAUCAGCUGGGGACGAUGGGCCUGAGCUAGGGCUGGAAAGAAGGGGGAGCCAGGCAUUCAUCCCGGUCACUUUUGGUUACAGGACGUGGCAGCUGGUUGGACGAGGGGAGCUGGUGGGCAGGGUUUGAUCCCAGGGCCUGGGCAACGGAGGUGUAGCUGGCAGCAGCGGGCAGGUGAGGACCCCAUCUGCCGGGCAGGUGAGUCCCUUCCCUCCCCAGGCCUCGCUUCCCCAGCCUUCUGAAAGAAGGAGGUUUAGGGGAUCGAGGGCUGGCGGGGAGAAGCAGACACCCUCCCAGCAGAGGGGCAGGAUGGGGGCAGGAGAGUUAGCAAAGGUGACAUCUUCUCGGGGGGAGCCGAGACUGCGCAAGGCUGGGGGGUUAUGGGCCCGUUCCAGGCAGAAAGAGCAAGAGGGCAGGGAGGGAGCACAGGGGUGGCCAGCGUAGGGUCCAGCACGUGGGGUGGUACCCCAGGCCUGGGUCAGACAGGGACAUGGCAGGGGACACAGGACAGAGGGGUCCCCAGCUGCCACCUCACCCACCGCAAUUCAUUUAGUAGCAGGCACAGGGGCAGCUCCGGCACGGCUUUCUCAGGCCUAUGCCGGAGCCUCGAGGGCUGGAGAGCGGGAAGACAGGCAGUGCUCGGGGAGUUGCAGCAGGACGUCACCAGGAGGGCGAAGCGGCCACGGGAGGGGGGCCCCGGGACAUUGCGCAGCAAGGAGGCUGCAGGGGCUCGGCCUGCGGGCGCCGGUCCCACGAGGCACUGCGGCCCAGGGUCUGGUGCGGAGAGGGCCCACAGUGGACUUGGUGACGCUGUAUGCCCUCACCGCUCAGCCCCUGGGGCUGGCUUGGCAGACAGUACAGCAUCCAGGGGAGUCAAGGGCAUGGGGCGAGACCAGACUAGGCGAGGCGGGCGGGGCGGAGUGAAUGAGCUCUCAGGAGGGAGGAUGGUGCAGGCAGGGGUGAGGAGCGCAGCGGGCGGCGAGCGGGAGGCACUGGCCUCCAGAGCCCGUGGCCAAGGCGGGCCUCGCGGGCGGCGACGGAGCCGGGAUCGGUGCCUCAGCGUUCGGGCUGGAGACGAGGCCAGGUCUCCAGCUGGGGUGGACGUGCCCACCAGCUGCCGAAGGCCAAGACGCCAGGUCCGGUGGACGUGACAAGCAGGACAUGACAUGGUCCGGUGUGACGGCGAGGACAGAGGAGGCGCGUCCGGCCUUCCUGAACACCUUAGGCUGGUGGGGCUGCGGCAAGAAGCGGGUCUGUUUCUUUACUUCCUCCACGGAGUCGGCACACUAUGGCUGCCCUCUGGGCUCCCAGAACCCACAACAUGAAAGAAAUGGUGCUACCCAGCUCAAGCCUGGGCCUUUGAAUCCGGACACAAAACCCUCUAGCUUGGAAAUGAAUAUGCUGCACUUUACAACCACUGCACUACCUGACUCAGGAAUCGGCUCUGGAAGCUAGAGGAACCAGACCUCAUCAGCCCAACAUCAAAGACACCAUCGGAACAGCAGCGCCCGCAGCACCCACCCCGCACCGGCGACUCCAUCUUCAUGGCCACCCCCUGCGGCGGACGGUUGACCACCAGCCACCACAUCAUCCCAGAGCUGAGCUCCUCCAGCGGGAUGACGCCGUCCCCACCACCUCCCUCUUCUUCUUUUUCAUCCUUCUGUCUCUUUGUUUCUGAGCUUUCCUGUCUUUCCUUUUUUCUGAGAGAUUCAAAGCCUCCACGACUCUGUUUCCCCCGUCCCUUCUGAAUUUAAUUUGCACUAAGUCAUUUGCACUGGUUGGAGUUGUGGAGACGGCCUUGAGUCUCAGUACGAGUGUGCGUGAGUGUGAGCCACCUUGGCAAGUGCCUGUGCAGGGCCCGGCCGCCCUCCAUCUGGGCCGGGUGACUGGGCGCCGGCUGUGUGCCCGAGGCCUCACCCUGCCCUCGCCUAGUCUGGAAGCUCCGACCGACAUCACGGAGCAGCCUUCAAGCAUUCCAUUACGCCCCAUCUCGCUCUGUGCCCCUCCCCACCAGGGCUUCAGCAGGAGCCCUGGACUCAUCAUCAAUAAACACUGUUACAGCAA